rnacentral:misc_RNA from 1 species
UGGUUCUGGCAUCGAUGAAGAACGCAGCGAAAUGCGAUAAGUAAUGUGAAUUGCAGAAUUCAGUGAAUCAUCGAAUCUUUGAACGCACAUUGCGCCCUUUGGCAUUCCGAGGGGCAUGCCCGUUCGAGCGUCAUUUCACCAAUCAAGCCUGGCUUGGUAUUAGGCGAGGAGCCGAUCGUUCCCGCCUCCAAUUCUCCGGCUGGACGGUUCGAUUCUCAGCGUUGUGAUUUUUCAACUCGCUGCGGGAGACGACCGUUCGUGCCGUUAAACACGCGGAAGCACACCAGGUUGACCUCGGAUCGGGUAGGGAUACCCGCUGA